AUUGAACGCUGGCGGCAUGCUUUACACAUGCAAGUCGAACGGUAACAGGGUGCUUGCACCGCUGACGAGUGGCGAACGGGUGAGUAAUGCGUCGCAACGCGCCGAGGAGUGGUGGAUAACGCAGCGAAAGUUGUGCUAAUACCGCAUACGUACUGAGGUAGAAAGUGGGGGACCUUCGGGCUUCACGCUAUUGGAGCGGCCGACGUCUGAUUAGCUAGUGGGUGAGGUAAAGGCUCACCUAGGCGACGAUCAGUAGCGGGUCUGAGAGGAUGAUCCGCCACACUGGGACUGAGACACGGCCCGGACUCCUACGGGAGGCAGCAGUGGGGAAUUUUGGACAAUGGGCGAAAGCCUGAUCCAGCCAUGCCGCGUGUCUGAAGAAGGCCUUCGGGUUGUAAAGGACUUUUGUCAGGGAGGAAAUCCCUAGUGCUAAUAACACUGGGGGAUGACAGUACCUGAAGAAUAAGCACCGGCUAACUACGUGCCAGCCGCCGCCGUAA
rnacentral:rRNA from 1 species